CCGGGCUAGACAACAGAGGACCGCUUUAGAAAUAAAGUCUUCCCUUCGGGGACCUCUGGUUCAGGUGCUGCAUGGCUGUCGUCAGCUCGUGUCGUGAGAUGUUGGGUUAAGUCCCGCAACGAGCGCAACCCUUGCCUCUAGUUUCCAUCAUUUAGUUGGGCACUCUAGAGGGACUGCCCGUGUCAAACGGGAGGAAGGCGGGGAUGACGUCAAGUCCUCAUGGCCCUUAUGUCCGGGGCUACACACGUGCUACAAUGGGCGGUACAAAGGGUUGCAAACCCGCGAGGGGGAGCCAAUCCCAAAAAGCCGCUCUCAGUUCGGAUUGGAGUCUGCAACUCGACUCCAUGAAGGCGGAAUCGCUAGUAAUCGCGGAUCAGCAUGCCGCGGUGAAUACGUUCCC
rnacentral:rRNA from 1 species